rnacentral:rRNA from 1 species
CAGGCCUAACACAUGCAAGUCGAGCGGAGUCAAUGAGAAGCUUGCUUCUUUGAGACUUAGCGGCGGACGGGUGAGUAACACGUAGGCAACCUGCCCAUAAGACUGGGAUAACUACCGGAAACGGUAGCUAAUACCGGAUAGGUUCUUUUCUCGCAUGAGAGAAGAAAGAAAGACGGAGCAAUCUGUCACUUAUGGAUGGGCCUGCGGCGCAUUAGCUAGUUGGUGGGGUAAAGGCCUACCAAGGCGACGAUGCGUAGCCGACCUGAGAGGGUGAUCGGCCACACUGGGACUGAGACACGGCCCAGACUCCUACGGGAGGCAGCAGUAGGGAAUCUUCCGCAAUGGACGAAAGUCUGACGGAGCAACGCCGCGUGAGUGAUGAAGGUUUUCGGAUCGUAAAGCUCUGUUGCCAGGGAAGAACG